rnacentral:lncRNA from 1 species
GAUGUCGGCGCCGCGGGGUGUGGACGAGGACGAGCCGGGGUUCGUCACGCUGUACCGUUGGAUCGUAGGCGUAUAGAAUUAGCCCCUGUAAUUACAGGACCUCACGAGGGUUUUUUUGUUAAUUUCCUUCCACAUUUUUUUACUAGGACUUUAUUGUAAAGAGAACAAAAAUUCCAGCUCCAGGUAAGCUUAACGUCUCUCAACCUUCCGUCGA